AAAUAAAGUUGCUAAUGUCGAGAAAUGAGAUUGGGGCUUGAUUAACUGAUACACAGGAAAAAGGCUCUGGAGAGAAGAAAUGAAGAAACCCAGAAACAGUACGAACUCAGUCCCGAGAUGCGGGGAAACUGAAGGGAAGACCAGACGACUGUGAUAUUUAAAUGACGGAGCGCGACCCUGGUGACCUGGACGCAGGUCAGAAAUACAGUCGGAGGAUUCGUCCUCCAGAGGAGUUUUCGUCAUGUAAAUUUUAGCGGAGAGAGGCAUCCUGCGGUUUAUUGUAUGACCAUAGUAAGCCAUGGCGAGGAAGGUCCACGAUGCCAGUUUCAGAGAAAUCGUUAGACGGAUUGGCUCUUCAUCUCUCACCUGGCAUUUUAACAAUGUUUCUAUUCGAAGAAUACUUUUGAGUUUCUGGGAACUGGUGAUCACAUCUGUGAUUUGAAAGUCGACUUACUUUUUGAAAAGCCUUUUAUUUAAUUAAGCAGCAAAAACAAACCUGUGUUUCCACCAGAUGCUUAUCACUGUAAGAGUAACAAGGAGACCCAAGAACUGCUCCCUCCCUGACUUUCAAGAACUUACUAUUUUGAUGAUUCCAGAUGACACUCAUGGUGUCUCUGGAUCAAGAGUGCCUGAACUGCAGAAAGUUAAUACAGCUGCUGGACGGGAUCUCCAGAAUCUCCGGAAGGUCUAUGACUCAAAGUCUUCUUCCCUUGAAUGGCACUACUGGAGUCUAAAUUCUCCAAAGUAA
rnacentral:lncRNA from 1 species